rnacentral:tRNA from 1 species
UCCCAUGUGGUCUAGUGGCUAGGAUACCAGGCUUUCAUCCAGGAGGCCCGGGUUCAAUUCCCGGCAUGGGAA